rnacentral:rRNA from 1 species
UACGAAGGGGGCUAGCGUUGUUCGGAAUCACUGGGCGUAAAGGGCGCGUAGGCGGCUGUUCAAGUCGGAGGUGAAAGCCUGUGGCUCAACCACAGAAUUGCCUUCGAUACUGGACGGCUCGAGACCGGAAGAGGUCAGUGGAACUGCGAGUGUAGAGGUGAAAUUCGUAGAUAUUCGCAAGAACACCAGUGGCGAAGGCGGCUGACUGGUCCGGUUCUGACGCUGAGGCGCGAAAGCGUGGGGGAGCAAACAGG